rnacentral:rRNA from 1 species
AUUGAACGCUGGCGGCAUGCCUUACACAUGCAAGUCGAACGGCAGCGGACCUUCGGGUGCCGGCGAGUGGCGAACGGGUGAGUAAUAUAUCGGAACGUACCUUUCAGUGGGGGAUAACGUAGCGAAAGUUACGCUAAUACCGCAUAUUCUGUGAGCAGGAAAGCAGGGGAUCGCAAGACCUUGCGCUGAUUGAGCGGCCGAUAUCAGAUUAGCUAGUUGGUGAGGUAAAGGCUCACCAAGGCUACGAUGCAUAGGGGGUCUGAGAGGAUGAUCCCCCANACUGGUACUGAGACACGGACCAGACUCCUACGGGAGGCAGUAGUAGGGAAUAUUGGGCAAUGGACGAAAGUCUGACCCAGCCACGCCGCGUGAAGGAUGAAUGCCCUCUGGGUUGUAAACUUCUUUUGUAUGGGAAGAAAAUUCCGAACGUGUUCGGAGCUGACGGUACCAUAAGAAUAAGCAUCGGCUAACUCCGUGCCAGCAGCCGCGGUAAAG